CCUACGGGAGGCAGCAGUGGGGAAUAUUGCACAAUGGACGAAACCCUGAUGCAGCAACGCCGCGUGAGUGAGGAAGUCUUUCGGGAUGUAAAGCUCUAUCAGCCGGGAAGAACAUGACGGUGCCUGACUAAUAAGCCCCGGCUCACUACGUGCCAGCAGCCGCGGUGAUACGUAGGGGGCAAGAGUGAUCCGGAUUUACUGGGUGUAAAGGGGGCGUAGACGGCGACUCAAGUCAGAGGUGAAAACCCCGGGCGCAACCCUGGGACUGCGUUUGAAACUGAGUAGCUAGAGUGCCGGAGAGGUAAGCGGAAUUCCUAGUGUAGCGGUGAAAUGCGUAGAUAUUAGGAGGAACACCAGUGGCGAAGGCGGCUUACUGGACUGUAACUGACGUUGAGGCGCGAAAGCGUGGGGAGCAAACAGGAUUAGAUACCCUUGUAGUC
rnacentral:rRNA from 1 species